AUCUAGCCAUGGGCAGGUUGAAGGUUGAGUAACAUCAACUGGAGGACCGAACCCACUAACUUUGAAAAGUUAGGGGAUGACCUGUGGCUAGGAGUGAAAGGCUAAUCAAACCGGGAGAUAGCUGGUUCUCCCCGAAAGCUAUUUAGGUAGCGCCUCGGACGAAUACCACAGGGGGUAGAGCACUGUUAAGGCUAGGGGGUCA
rnacentral:rRNA from 1 species